GCUGGAGGUAUCAGAAGUGCGAAUGCUGACAUAAGUAACGAUAAUGCGGGUGAAAAACCCGCACGCCGGAAGACCAAGGGUUCCUGUCCAACGUUAAUCGGGGCAGGGUGAGUCGACCCCUAAGGCGAGGCCGAAAGGCGUAGUCGAUGGGAAACAGGUUAAUAUUCCUGUACCUGGUGUUACUGCGAAGGGGGGACGGAGAAGGCUAUGUUGGCCGGGCGACGGUUGUCCCGGUUUAAGCGUGUAGGCUGGUUUUCCAGGCAAAUCCGGAAAAUCAAGGCUGAGGCGUGACGACGAGGCACUACGGUGCUGAAGCAACAAAUGCCCUGCUUCCAGGAAAAGCCUCUAAGCCUCAGGUAACAUCAGAUCGUACCCGAAACCGACACAGGUGGUCAGGUAGAGAAUACCAAGGCGCUUGAGAGAACCCGGGUGAAGGAACUAGGCAAAAUGGUGCCGUAACUUCGGGAGAAGGCACGCUGACACGUAGGUGAAGCGGUUUACCCGUGAAGCUGAAGUCAGUCGAAGAUACCAGCUGGCUGCAACUGUUUAUUAAAAACACAGCACUGUGCAAACACGAAAGUGGACGUAUACGGUGUGACGCCUGCCCGGUGCCGGAAGGUUAAUUGAUGGGGUCAGCGCAAGCGAAGCUCCUGAUCGAAGCCCCGGUAAACGGCGGCCGUAACUAUAACGGUCCUAAGGUAGCGAAAUUCCUUGUCGGGUAAGUUCCGACCUGCACGAAUGGCGUAAUGAUGGCCAGGCUGUCUCCACCCGGGACUCAGUGAAAUUGAACUCGCUGUGAAGAUGCAGUGUACCCGCGGCAAGACGGAAAGACCCCGUGAACCUUUACUAUAGCUUGACACUGAACACUGGUCCUUGAUGUGCAGGAUAGGUGGGAGGCUUUGAAGUGUGGACGCCAGUCUGCAUGGAGCCGUCCUUGAAAUACCACCCUUUAAUGGCUGGUGUUCUAACGUAGACCCGUGAACCGGGUUGCGGACAGUGUCUGGUGGGUAGUUUGACUGGGGCGGUCUCCUCCUAAAGCGUAACGGAGGAGCACGAAGGUUGGCUAAUCCUGGUCGGACAUCAGGAGGUUAGUGCAAUGGCAUAAGCCAGCUUGACUGCGAGCGUGACGGCGCGAGCAGGUGCGAAAGCAGGUCAUAGUGAUCCGGUGGUUCUGAAUGGAAGGGCCAUCGCUCAACGGAUAAAAGGUACUCCGGGGAUAACAGGCUGAUACCGCCCAAGAGUUCAUAUCGACGGCGGUGUUUGGCACCUCGAUGUCGGCUCAUCACAUCCUGGGGCUGAAGUAGGUCCCAAGGGUAUGGCUGUUCGCCAUUUAAAGUGGUACGCGAGCUGGGUUUAGAACGUCGUGAGACAGUUCGGUCCCUAUCUGCCGUGGGCGCUGGAGAACUGAGGGGGGCUGCUCCUAGUACGAGAGGACCGGAGUGGACGCAUCACUGGUGUUCGGGUUGUCAUGCCAAUGGCACUGCCCGGUAGCUAAAUGCGGAAGAGAUAAGUGCUGAAAGCAUCUAAGCACGAAACUUGCCCCGAGAUGAGUUCUCCCUGAGACUACAAGUCUCCUGAAGGAACGUUGAAGACGACGACGUUGAUAGGCCGGGUGUGUAAGCGCAGCGAUGCGUUGAGCUAACCGGUACUAAUGAACCGUGAGGCUUAACCUUACAACGCCGAAG
rnacentral:rRNA from 1 species